rnacentral:rRNA from 1 species
UAUGGCCACAUCACGUUGAAACACCAGUCCCCAUAUGAUCACUGAAGUUAAGCAAUGUUGAGCCUGGUUAGCACCUAGAUGGGUGACCACUUGGGAAUACCAGGUGCU